CACUGUUCUCUUUACAGUUACUGAGCACACAGAACCUCACCAUGGAAUGGAGCUAUAUCAUCCUCUUUAUGGUAGCAACAACUACAGGUGCCCACUCCCAGGUCCAGCUGCAGCAGUCUGGAGCUGAGCUGGUGAAGCCUGGGGCCUCAGUGAAGCUGUCCUGCAAGGCUUCUGGCUACACAUUCACAAGCUACUGGAUGCACUGGGUGAAGCAGAGGCCUGGACAAGGCCUUGAGUGGAUUGGAGAGAUUUAUCCUGGAGAUGGUGAUACUAACUACAAUGAGAAGUUCAAGGGCAAGGCCACAUUGACUGCAGAUAAAUCCUCCAGCACUGCCUACAUGCAGCUGAGCAGCCUGACAUCUGAGGACACUGCUGUCUAUUUCUGUGCAAGACACAGUGCUGCAACCACAUCCUGAGAGUGUCAGAAACCCUGGAGGAGCAGGAAGCUGCCCUGGGACUGAGAAGAAUCAGAGA